UACGUAGGGACCAAGCGUUGUUCGGAUUUACUGGGCGUAAAGGGUGCGUAGGCGGUGCGUCAAGUCAGUUGUGAAAUCUUAAGGCUUAACCUUAAACGGUCAACUGAUACUGUCGUGCUAGAGUGCAGAAAGGGCAAUCGGAAUUCUUGGUGUAGCGGUGAAAUGCGUAGAUAUCAAGAGGAACACCUGAGGCGAAGGCGGGUUGCUUGGCUGACACUGACGCUGAGGCACGAAAGCUAGGGUAGCAAACGGG
rnacentral:rRNA from 1 species